rnacentral:lncRNA from 1 species
AGUAUCUCGUUUCAUUAACUUUUGAACACAUUAAGCAAUGAUUCGAAAAUCACAAUAAUGGGUUGAAGAUAUUUAUAACAGAACCAACUGUAACAUUAGACGUUCGGAUAAAUGUUUAUAAUUGGUCUAAGAUGAAAAAACAUUAAAUGUACAUGGUCAUCAUCAGAUACAACUACUUAUACAUUUCCUUCAAACGAGUCGAAACAUUCAAAGUUGAUUGGUUUGCAACAUUGGAUGAAGUUAAAUUUAAUUCGUUCAGUAGCUAUAAUGUCAGUUUUCCUAAUGAUGGCAACUUUUUGCAUGCACAGUGUGAUGGUGCAGUAUUUUUCAAAAAAUAUCUGCAAACAUACGGUAGAGAUGGUUGUUAGACUGAAGAAGAUUUUUUAUAUUUCAUAUAAGUAAGGAAAAUAGAAAUUUUCGAUGUAACAUAAAUUAAUAAUAAUUCCUUAUAGACAAUAAACACGUAUAAUAGAGAAUGA